rnacentral:rRNA from 1 species
AAAAAGCGGAGGAAAAGAAACUAACAAGGAUUCCCCCAGUAAUGGCGAGUGAAGAGGGAAAAGCCCAAAUUUGUAAUCUGGCUCUUUCGCAAGGGUCCGAGUUGUAAUUUUGAGGACUGUUUUCUGUGCUGGACCAUUUCUAAGUCUGUUGGAAAACAGCAUCAUAGAGGGUGAUAAUCCCGUUUGUGAUAUGGACUACCAGGGCUAUAUGAUACAGUUUCUAAGAGUCGAGUUGUUUGGGAAUGCAGCUCAAAGUGGGUGGUAAAUUCCAUCUAAGGCUAAAUAUAGGUGAGAGACCGAUAGCAUACAAGUACCGUGAGGGAAAGAUGAAAAGAACUUUGGAAAGAGAGUUAACAGUGUGUGAAAUUGUUGUAAAGGAAACAUUUAAACUUAUUGUUGUGCUUGUCAGUUCAGCCCUCUUAUCAGGGUGUAUUCUGGCAAAUCACGGGCCAACAUCAGUUUUUGAGUGCUGGAUAAGGGUCUUGGGAAUGUAGCAGUCUAGGCUGUGUUAUAGCCCAUGAUUUAGAUACAGUGCUUAGGACUGAGAACAAUCUGCAGCAAGCCCUUUAUUGUGGCAGCCUGUCAUGGGCACCUAUGCUAAGGAUGUUGGUGAGAUAGAUUUAAAUGACCCGUCUUGAACCACGGACCA